rnacentral:rRNA from 1 species
GUUUGAUCCUGGCUCAGAACGAACGUUAGCGGCGCGCCUAACACAUGCAAGUCGAGCGAGAAGGAAGCAAUUCCUGUAAAGCGGCGCACGGGUGAGUAACACGUAGGUAAUCUACCUCGAAGUGGUGGAUAACCUUCCGAAAGGAGGGCUAAUACAGCAUGAGACCACGGUUUCGAAAGAGAUUGAGGUCAAAGCGGGCCACUAUACAUAAGCUCGCGCUUCGAGAUGAGCCUGCGGCCCAUCAUGGUAGUUGGUAGGGUAAUGGCCUACCAAGCCGAAGACGGGUAGCUGGUCUGAGAGGAUGAUCAGCCACACUGGAACUGAGACACGGUCCAGACUCCUACGGGAGGCAGCAGUGGGGAAUCUUGCGCAAUGGGCGAAAUCCUGACGCAGCGACGCCGCGUGAGUGAUGAAGGCC